rnacentral:SRP_RNA from 1 species
GCCCCUGUAGUCCCAGCUACUCAGGAGGCUGAGGCAGAGUGUGUUCUGGGCUGCAGUGCGCUAUGCCCAGCGGGUGUCCGCACUAAGUUCAGCAUCAAUAUGGUGGCCUUCUGGGAGCAGGGGACCACCAGGUUGCCUAAGGAGGGGUGAACUGGCCCAGGUUGAAAACUGAGCAGGUCAAAACUCCCUGUUGACUUUCCUUUCUACUGUGUCUUUAUGACGCUAGGCAGGGAAAGUUCUCUGCUUUU